CUUCUUCACAGGCUUGUUCCUCUUCUUCCCUGAAGACUUUUUUUUGAAAAAAUGUGUCUACUCCACAGCAAGAACGAAGCCCUUUGAACUCUUCAAGAUUUCUUCUAUAGUGACCAACAUGUUAACAAACUUAAAUAAAGUGUAGUCUAACUUGUUCAUAUGGUAAUUUAAAAUAAACUAUCCAUAUGAACUAGUCAAAGAUUGCAGGAUCAAAU
rnacentral:lncRNA from 1 species